AUGCCCUAGAAACCCUAAAAACAUUACUGUCAUCCAAGGCUUUCGGUUGAGCAUUCCAGUGUCGGAGCUUCAAAUCAUCCAAACGGAUUUGAAGAGCUAGAUCUGCCUCUUUGGUUGAAAGUUGAAACAGUUGUUGAUGACGAUACUUUCCCUAGAAGUAGAGUUUCCGUUACUCCUCUGCGGGUUCAAGACCAUGGGUAUUAUUCUAUAAUAGGCUGCUCUCACGGAUUGUUUUGCCUCUUUCUAAUUGGCCGUGAGUUUCUCAUCAACGGACUGGGCAAAGCUGCUUUUUGUAAUCCAACUAUUAGAAAAACGGUUGAACUUGUUGUGGCUAGUGUGGCAAAUGGGGAAACAUAUGCAACCGUUUUAGGUUUUGGGGUUUGUCGUGAGACUAAUGACACUAAGAUUGUGAAGAUCACACAUAUUGUUAGUUGGGGCGAUAUGGAAACUGCAAGUUGCAUCCAUUGGCAAGUUGGAGUUUUUACAUUGAGCGCAUGGGCUUGGAGACGGCUAGGUGGCAAUCCCCCUCGUAAAUUAGUCAGCUUUCAAUUUGAUCUGCCAGAUGGUUUUUGUUCAGUAUCUAUAGAUGGUGUUAUAUAUUGGUUAGCUACUAUGGAUGGUGGGUCUUGUAAUCUGAUUAUAUCAUAUGAUAUCACAAGUGAGGUAUUUGGAGAA